CAGUCGCCGCGGGAAUACGAGGGGGGCAAGCGUUAUUCGGAACCAUUGGGCUUAAAGCGCGUGUAGGCGGAUGGGAACGUCGGUCGCUGAAAUACCCCGGCUCAACCAGGGAACUGGCAUCGAAACGACCCGUCUCGAGGGGCAUAGGGGGAGCUGGAACUUCCGGUGGAGCGGUGAAAUGCGUUGAGAUCGGAAGGAACGCCCGUGGCGAAAGCGAGCUCCUGGAUGUCUUCUGACGCUGAGACGCGAAAGCUAGGGUAGCGAACGGGAUUAGAUACCCCUGUAGUCCCUGUCUCUUAUA
rnacentral:rRNA from 1 species